UACGGGGGGAGCAAGCGUUGUUCGGAUUUACUGGGCGUAAAGGGCGCGUAGGCGGCCAGCACAAGUCAGUUGUGAAAUCUCCGAGCUUAACUCGGAAAGGUCAACUGAUACUGAUGUGCGUAGAGUGCAGAAGGGGCAAUCGGAAUUCUUGGUGUAGCGGUGAAAUGCGCAGAUAUCAGGAGGAACACCGGUGGCGAAGGCGGCCACCUGGACGGUAACUGACGCUGAGACGCGAAAGCGUGGGGAGCAAACAGG
rnacentral:rRNA from 1 species